AUUGAACGCUGGCGGCAUGCUUUACACAUGCAAGUCGAACGGUAACAGGUUAAGCUGACGAGUGGCGAACGGGUGAGUAAUGCAUCGGAACGUGCCCGGUCGUGGGGGAUAACGCAGCGAAAGCUGCGCUAAUACCGCAUACGAUCUGAGGAUGAAAGCGGGGGACCGUAAGGCCUCGCGCGAUCGGAGCGGCCGAUGUCAGAUUAGGUAGUUGGUGGGGUAAAGGCUCACCAAGCCAACGAUCUGUAGCUGGUCUGAGAGGACGACCAGCCACACUGGGACUGAGACACGGCCCAGACUCCUACGGGAGGCAGCAGUGGGGAAUUUUGGACAAUGGGCGAAAGCCUGAUCCAGCAAUGCCGCGUGCAGGAAGAAGGCCUUCGGGUUGCAAACUGCUUAUGUACGGAGCGAAAAGGUCUCCUCUAAUACAGGGGGCUCAUGACGGUACCGUAAGAAUAAGCACCGGCUAACUACGUGCCAGCAGCCGCAGUAA
rnacentral:rRNA from 1 species